rnacentral:rRNA from 1 species
UACGGAGGAUCCAAGCGUUAUCCGGAUUUAUUGGGUUUAAAGGGUGCGUAGGUGGCCUUAUAAGUCAGUGGUGAAAGCCUGCAGCUUAACUGUAGGACUGCCAUUGAUACUGUAGGGCUUGAGUACUGAUGAGGUAGGCGGAAUUGAUAGUGUAGCGGUGAAAUGCAUAGAUAUUAUCAAGAACACCGAUUGCGAAGGCAGCUUACUAAGGAGUUACUGACACUGAGGCACGAAAGCGUGGGGAUCAAACAGG